AAGUCGUAACAAGGUUUCCGUAGGUGAACCUGCGGAAGGAUCAUUAACACGUAUCCACGUAUAUAAACAAACACGACGCACUGAACUCCCUUUCAUUCUAAGUCAAAGCUGUUGGUCAUGAUAUUAUAGUGGGUCUACCUCUUAACCUGGACUAGGCAUAUAUUGUGAGACUAUCACUCCCAUUCGUGGAGAGUGUGGCUGAGGAAUUGAAUGAAAGGCUUUCUCAUUUCCUAUGUGGCCAACCACUUUGGUCCCUGGAAAUGAUACCAUAUAAACAAUUUCACCCUAUUUUACCUAUUUGACUAAUAUACAUUCAGCAGAGAAAUCUGUCUGAAUACUAAGAUUUAUCUUAACUAAGCACAACUCUUAGCAAUGGAUAUCUUGGUUCUC
rnacentral:misc_RNA from 1 species